CUGGAAUUAUAGGUGUGUGCCACACCUGGCUAACCUGGUCAAGUCCCCUUUUUACAUAGAGGAGAUCUGCUUUUCACCUACAUACUUGACGCGCUUCAAUGGCACCCAAAAAUUGUUGGUGAAGGCUGAGCUGAGGGUCCUCCUUCCAGCGCAGGGCCUGGCGCCCUGCUUGCUGCGAUGCACAAACGUCUCUUCCCACCUCCUUGCUGCAGUCCUGGGCAUAUGAAGAUUUUGCCCGCCUCCUUCACCUUUUUCUGUCUCCAUCUGUUCUUAUUUCCUUGCCCUCUGACUUUCCUUCAGACCCCCUUGUCAAACUGUGGCGUACGUCUUUGUUUGUUUUGGUACCGGGGAUAAAACUAAGGACAUUGUGCUUACAAGGCAGGCCCGCUGCCACUGAGCUAAAUGCCCUGCCCUUGUGACUUACGUUUUAAACUUUGACUUUGGUGUAUUUUCUUCUUAGAAGCCUAUCUUUGGUUUCUGAAUUGGAAAGCAAAUGGCCAAGUCUUAAAAUCUGUUUCCAUAUUUCUCAAAGAUAAUGCCUGUUUUCCAAAGUGGUUGUAACAUUGAUUCCCAUUCCCAACAGCAACAUAUGAAGGUUCCUAUUUUGAGAUAAGUUCUCCCUAAGGUGCCCAGGCUUGCCUUGAACUUGGGAUCCUCCAACUCUACCUGCCUAGUAGUUGGGAUGACAGCAUGGCUCACUGUGCCUGCCCACUUUUCAUUUUCUUAAUGUUUUUGAAACAAAAACAAAGUAGCUUUAUUGAACUACGAUUGACUCAUAGUAAAUUAAAAAUUUUAAAUAUACAACAUAAAUCUUGGCACGUACCCAACUGUGAACCCAUAUGUACAAUAAAAAAAACAAAUAUAUCCAUCCCAUCAACUUUUUUUAUCCCCAUAAUCAGUUCCUUCCUGCCCUUCCAGGUUUCCUAAUAGCCACUAACCUGCUUUAUAUCACCACAUAUUACUUUGCAUUUUCUAGAACUUUAUACAAAUAUUCAUUAUAUAUAUUUUCUUAAGUUCAUCCACUUUAUGUGUCAGUAAUCAGCUUCAGAUGCUGAGUUGUGUGUGUGUGUUGGACAGUGGAAUUGUUUCCAGUUUUUAACUAUUACAAAUAAAGAUGCUGUUUUAGUUAACUUUCUUGUAGAUAAGACACAAUACCUGACACCCACAGUUUAAAGGAGGAGGGUCAGGAAUGUAGGUUAGCAGCACAGGGCCUGCCUGGCAAGCACAAAGCCCUGAAUUCGAUCUAGGUACAAAAACAAAAACAAAAAGAAUAGCCAGACAGAACCAGCUCAUUCGUGCCGCUGCCUGCCUCACAAGCACGAGGACCCAAGUUCGAUCCCAGGAGCUCAAAACAAA